rnacentral:rRNA from 1 species
UACGUAGGGUGCAAGCGUUGUCCGGAAUUAUUGGGCGUAAAGGGCUCGUAGGCGGUCCGUCACGUCGGGUGUGAAAGCCCGGGGCUUAACCCCGGGUCUGCAUUCGAUACGGGCUAGCUAGAGUGUGGUAGGGGAGAUCGGAAUUCCUGGUGUAGCGGUGAAAUGCGCAGAUAUCAGGAGGAACACCGGUGGCGAAGGCGGGAUCUCUGGGCCAUUACUGACGCUGAGGAGCGAAAGCGUGGGGAGCGAACAGG